AUCACUUCUCGGCCUUUCGGCUAAGAUCAAAUGUAGUAUCUGUUCUUACCAGUUCAAAGCAGGAAGAAAGUUAAAGUAUAUUCUAGUCUAGAGAGAUCUGUGUCUGUCCCAUACUGCUGUAAGCCUAGCACCUACAACAACAAUGCCUA
ensembl:snRNA U2 U2 spliceosomal RNA